rnacentral:lncRNA from 1 species
UGUUCGUGAACGCAUGUAUAUCCUUAACAAACAAACACAAACAAGGCCUUGUUUUUGUUCGUUCAGUUCGUUUACCAUGCUUUGAAUCAUGUGUAAACAUGCCUUAGUAUAGUACAUAAGCUUGAUUACUAUAACAUACAUUAAAAUGGACAAAAAGGAGUCUUUCAUUCAUCAUAAAAAGUAAAAACAAUUACAUAAAAUACUCAGAACUCUUCUUACAACUGAUAUAUUACUAUAACAUACAUUAUUUUUUUGUUUCAUUCAUUUUACAAAGAAAACAGUACAUGAAAUGAAGUUGACCACCAGAUAGAUUACUUCGAUUCGGUCAACUUCACACUGAAAUCCCACAGUUUCUUUGCCAAUUCUGGGUCGCGUGCAUACCCGCUUGCUUUACUCAAGUUGCUGUCAGCAAAGUACUGCCCACUAACGCCCUUAAGUUGCGGGUGCAACGCUACAUAGCAUGUAGUUGCAGCUCCCUGUGGAACGUUCUUCAAGAAACUAUGGACCGUGUUAACGAAUAUAGCUGUAAGAAACCACCGUGACGCGCUAGAUUCGUUUUAAUAACUCCAGGGUGCAGGGAAUUGGCGGUUAUAUUCACCCCCU